GGGGUGUUAGCUCAGAUUGGUUAGAGCGCCGGCCUGUCACGCCGGAGGUCGCGGGUUCGAUCCCCGUACAUCCCGCCA
rnacentral:tRNA from 1 species